GACGAACGCUGGCGGCGUGCUUAACACAUGCAAGUCGAACGGUAAGGCCCUUCGGGGUACACGAGUGGCGAACGGGUGAGUAACACGUGGGUGAUCUGCCCUGCACUUCGGGAUAAGCCUGGGAAACUGGGUCUAAUACCGGAUAGGACCACUGCCUGCAUGGGUGGUGGUGGAAAGCUUUUGCGGUGUGGGAUGGGCCCGCGGCCUAUCAGCUUGUGGGUGGGGUGAUGGCCUACCAAGGCGACGACGGGUAGCCGGCCUGAGAGGGUGACCGGCCACACUGGGACUGAGAUACGGCCCAGACGCCUACGGGAGGCAGCAGUGGGGAAUAUUGCACAAUGGGCGCAAGCCUGAUGCAGCGACGCCGCGUGAGGGAUGACGGCCUUCGGGUUGUAAACCUCUUUCAGCACCGACGAAGCGCAAGUGACGGUAGGUGCAGAAGAAGGGCCGACCAACUACGUGCCAGCCGCCGCUGUAA
rnacentral:rRNA from 1 species